UGCAACUCGUGGCCAGCAGCGGCGGUAAUACGGGGGGUGCAAGCGUUAGCCGGAUUUAUUGUGUUUAAAGGGUCCGUAUGCGGAUCUAGAAGGCAGUGGUGAAAUCUCACAGCUUAACUGUGAAACUGCCGUUGAUACUGUAGGUCUUGAGUAAAUUUGAAGUGGCUGGAAUAAGUAGUGUAGCGGUGAAAUGCAUAGAUAUUACUUAGAACACCAAUUGCGAAGGCAGGUCACUAAGAUUUAACUGACGCUGAGGGACGAAAGCGUUGGGAGCGAACAGGAUUAGAUACCCUGGUAGUC
rnacentral:rRNA from 1 species